rnacentral:rRNA from 1 species
ACACUCCUACGGGAGGCAGCAGUGGGGAAUAUUGGACAAUGGGCGCAAGCCUGAUCCAGCCAUGCCGCGUGAGUGAUGAAGGCCCUAGGGUUGUAAAGCUCUUUCACCGGUGAAGAUAAUGACGGUAACCGGAGAAGAAGCCCCGGCUAACUUCGUGCCAGCAGCCGCGGUAAUACGAAGGGGGCUAGCGUUGUUCGGAUUUACUGGGCGUAAAGCGCACGUAGGCGGACUAUUAAGUCAGGGGUGAAAUCCCGGGGCUCAACCCCGGAACUGCCUUUGAUACUGGUAGUCUUGAGUUCGAGAGAGGUGAGUGGAAUUCCGAGUGUAGAGGUGAAAUUCGUAGAUAUUCGGAGGAACACCUGUGGCGAAGGCGGCUCACUGGCUCGAUACUGACGCUGAGGUGCGAAAGCGUGGGGAGCAAACAGGAUUAGAUACCCCUGUAGUCCCAUGA